rnacentral:tRNA from 7 species
GCAUCUAGCCGAGUUGGUAAGGUGGUCUGAGGAGCACUCCUUAGGUCCUGAGUUCGAAUCCUAGUGGGAGCG